rnacentral:rRNA from 1 species
GAGGAUUCCCCUAGUAACGGCGAGUGAAGCGGGAAGAGCUCAAAUUUGUAAUCUGGCGGUCCUAGGCCGUUCCGAGUUGUAGUCUAGAGAAGUGUUAUCUGUGCCGGACCGUGUACAAGUCCCUUGGAACAGGGCGUCGUAGAGGGUGAGAAUCCCGUCUCUGACACGGACCGCCGGUGCUAUGUGAUGCGCUCUCAAAGAGUCGAGUUGUUUGGGAAUGCAGCUCAAAAUGGGUGGUAAAUUCCAUCUAAAGCUAAAUAUUGGCGAAAGACCGAUAGCGAACAAGUACCGUGAGGGAAAGAUGAAAAGCACUUUGGAAAGAGAGUUAAACAGUACGUGAAAUUGUUGAAAGGGAAACGCUUGAAGUCAGUCGCGUCCGACGAGACUCARCCGGGUUCAGACCCGGUGCACUUCUYGACGUGACGGGCCAGCAUCGAUUUCCAUCGUCGGAGAAAGGCCAUGGGAAUGUGGCACCCUUUUGGGUGUGUUAUAGCCCUCGGUCGUAUGCGACGGUGGGGAUCGAGGAUCGCAGCGUGCCUCUGUAAAGGGGCCGGGGUUCGCCCACGUAACGCGCUUAGGAUGCUGGCGUAAUGGCUUUAAGCGACCCGUCUUGAAACACGGACCAAGGAGUCUAACAUGCCUGCGAGUGUUUGGGUGGAAAACCCGGACGCGUAAUGAAAGUGAAGGUCGAGACCUCUGUCGUGGAGGGCACCGACGCCCGGACCAGACCUUUUGUGACGGUUCCGAGGUAGAGCAUGUAUGUUGGGACCCGAAAGAUGGUGAACUAUGCCUGAGUAGGGUGAAGCCAGAGGAAACUCUGGUGGAGGCUCGUAGCGAUUCUGACGUGCAAAUCGAUCGUCGAACUUGGGUAUAGGGGCGAAAGACUAAU